rnacentral:rRNA from 1 species
AGUCGAGCGAACGGACGAGAAGCUUGCUUCUCUGAUGUUAGCGGCGGACGGGUGAGUAACACGUGGAUAACCUACCUAUAAGACUGGGAUAACUUCGGGAAACCGGAGCUAAUACCGGAUAAUAUUUUGAACCGCAUGGUUCAAAAGUGAAAGACGGUCUUGCUGUCACUUAUAGAUGGAUCCGCGCUGCAUUAGCUAGUUGGUAAGGUAACGGCUUACCAAGGCAACGAUGCAUAGCCGACCUGAGAGGGUGAUCGGCCACACUGGAACUGAGACACGGUCCAGACUCCUACGGGAGGCAGCAGUAGGGAAUCUUCCGCAAUGGGCGAAAGCCUGACGGAGCAACGCCGCGUGGGUGAUGAAGGUCUUCGGAUCGUAAAACUCUGUUAUUAGGGAAGAACAUAUGUGUAAGUAACUGUGCACAUCUUGACGGUACCUAAUCAGAAAGCCACGGCUAACUACGUGCCAGCAGCCGCGGUAAUACGUAGGUGGCAAGCGUUAUCCGGAAUUAUUGGGCGUAAGGCGCGCGUAGGCGGUUUUUUAAGUCUGAUGUGAAAGCCCACGGCUCAACCGUGGAGGGUCAUUGGAAACUGGAAAACUUGAGUGCAGAAGAGGAAAGUGGAAUUCCAUGUGUAGCGGUGAAAUGCGCAGAGAUAUGGAGGAACACCAGUGGCGAAGGCGACUUUCUGGUCUGUAACUGACGCUGAUGUGCGAAAGCGUGGGGAUCAAAC